rnacentral:rRNA from 1 species
UAAAGUUAAGGAACUCGUUAGUUUUAUGAAGGUUUAUCAAAAACAUUGCUAUAAGGGUAGUGUAUGGUAAGGCCUGCCCAGUGAUUAAUUAAACGGCUGCGGUAUAUUGACCGUGCUAAGGUAGCAUAGUCAUUUGUCUUUUAAUUGGAGGCUGGAAUGAAGGGUUUAACAAAAGAUAGUGUCUUUAUUUUAAAUUUGUAAUUUGUAAUAGGAGUAAAAAUACUCUGGUGUGAUUAAGGGACGACAAGACCCUAAAAGCUUUAUUUUUAACAUAGGUUUGAGUUUAAAAUAGAAUAGAAAGUUUAACUGGGGUAGUUUUUUUGUAAAAUCUGAGGUUGUAAAAGACAUAUAAAGUGGGGUUAGGUCCUUUAGAUAAGGAUAAUUUGAGUGAGUUACUUUAGGGAUAACAGCGUAAUAAUCCUAGGGAGAUCGUAUCUAUGGGGUUGAUUGCGACCUCGAUGUUGAAUUAAAAGCUCAGUGUGGAGCAGAAGCUACAGGGUGAGGGUUUGUUCAACCUUUAAAUUUUUACAUGAUUUGAGUUCAAAUCGGUUUAAGCCAGAUUGGUUUCUAUCUUUUAUGGGGGAGUUAGCAUUCUAGUACGAAAGGGCCGAAUG